GAGAUUCAAAAUGGUGCCUGGCCGAGGGAAGCUGGCACGGCAGGGCCUCUGCAACCCAAGGAUCAGGAAAGAGUUGGGAUGUCCUGCAAAAGAGGUUUAUUGUUCGAUUGAUUUAUAUCCCACUUCUUCUCUGGGAGUUCAAGCCAACAUCACUGCACUUGUUUCUUCAUUUUUCGCCAUGGGGGGUGGGCUGUUUUAAGACAGCAUGAGAAACUCAAAUCUCCAAGUAUAUAACGGUCUGUGGUGAAUGGCUUUGGAAGACAGGAGGAAGAAUCCCAGGCUGGACAACCAUCAUGCAAGAGAUCAGCUUUAGACGUCAAUCUGCGGAGUUGGGCGGAAAAAAUUCAGGGAAUGAAUCCAGAAGCAACUGCUCUCCACCAGUUGCAGCAAGCCCACUUACGUGGUUCUGCACGGAAACACCUCCGAGUUACCGGAAUGCACGAGAACUGGCUGCUCAUAAAACGAGGACUUUUGAUUAAUUUCACGGAGGCUGUUUAAAAAGUUUGCACG